GACAGAGGGUGCAAACGUUGUUCGGAAUUACUGGGCGUAAAGCGCGUGUAGGCUGCUCUGAAAGUCGGAUGUGAAAGCCCUGGGCUCAACCUAGGAAGUGCACUCGAUACUACAGAGCUUGAGUUCCGGAGAGGAAGGCGGAAUUCUCGGUGUAGAGGUGAAAUUCGUAGAUAUCUGGAGGAACACCGGUGGCGAAGGCGGCGUUCUGGACUGUUACUGACACUGAGGAACGAAAGCUAGGGGAGCGAACAGG
rnacentral:rRNA from 1 species